GCAAGUCGAACGCCCUCGACCUUUCGGGUCACAUGAGGGAGUGGCGAACGGGUAGUAACACGUGAGAAACCUACCCCAGAGUACGGAUAAGCCGAAGAAAUUCGGUCUAAUACCGUAUGCCAUCUUCUGAUCGCAUGGUCAGAAGCUGAAAGAUUUAUCGCUUUGGGAGGGUCUCGCGCCCUAUCAGCUAGUUGGUGAGGUAAUGGCUCACCAAGGCAUCGACGGGUAGCUGGUCUGAGAGGACGACCAGCCACACUGGAACUGAGACACGGUCCAGACUCCUACGGGAGGCAGCAGUGGGGAAUCUUGCACAAUGGGCGAAAGCCUGAUGCAGCGACGCCGCGUGGGGGAUGAAGGCCCUAGGGUCGUAAACCCCUUUCGGUAGGGACGAAAAUGACGGUACCUACAAAAGAAGGCCCGGCCAACUACGUGCCAGCAGCCGCGGUAAGACGUAGGGGCCAAGCGUUGUCCGGAUUUAUUGGGCGUAAAGGGCUCGUAGGCGGUUAAGUAAGUCGGAUGUGAAAACUCAGGGCUCAACCCUGAGACGCCAUCCGAUACUGCUUUGACUUGAGUCUGGUAGAGGAGUGUGGAAUUCCUGGUGUAGCGGUGAAAUGCGCAGAUAUCAGGAGGAACACCUGUAGCGAAGGCGGCACUCUGGGCCAGUACUGACGCUGAGGAGCGAAAGCAUGGGUAGCAAACAGGAUUAGAUA
rnacentral:rRNA from 1 species